GGGGGGGGGGGGGGGGGGGGGGGGGGCGGGGGGGGCGGGCGGGGAGGCCCUGCGUUUGGGGGGUGCGCGAGUGGCGAACGGGUGAGUAACACGUGAGUAACCUGCCCUGGACUUGGGGAUAACUUCCGGCAACUGGGGCUAAUACCGGAUAGGAGCUCCUGCUUCAUGGUGGGGGUUGGAAAGUUUCGGCGGUUGGGGAUGGACUCGCGGCCUCGUAGCUUGUUGGUGAGGUAGUGGCUUACCAAGGCUUUGACGGGUAGCCGGCCUGAGAGGGUGACCGGCCACAUUGGGACUGAGAUACGGCCCAGACUCCUACGGGAGGCAGCAGUGGGGAAUAUUGCACAAUGGGCGGAAGCCUGAUGCAGCAACGCCGCGUGCGGGAUGACGGCCUUCGGGUUGUAAACCGCUUUCGCCUGUGACGAAGCGUGAGUGACGGUAAUGGGUAAAGAAGCACCGGCUAACUACGUG
rnacentral:rRNA from 1 species